rnacentral:rRNA from 1 species
UACAGAGGGUGCAAGCGUUGUUCGGAUAUACUGGGCGUAAAGCGCACGUAGGCGGCGUCGUAAGUCAGGGGUGAAAUCCCGGAGCUCAACUCCGGAACUGCCCUUGAAACUGCAAUGCUAGAAUCUUGGAGAGGCGAGUGGAAUUCCGAGUGUAGAGGUGAAAUUCGUAGAUAUUCGGAAGAACACCAGUGGCGAAGGCGGCUCACUGGACUGGUAUUGACGCUGAGGUACGAAAGCGUGGGGAGCAAACAGG